rnacentral:rRNA from 1 species
GAUGAACGCUAGCGGCAGGCUUAACACAUGCAAGUCGAGGGGCAGCGGGGAGGAAGCUUGCUUUCUCCGCCGGCGACCGGCGCACGGGUGAGUAACACGUAUGCAACCUGCCCCUGUCAGGGGGACAACCCGCCGAAAGGCGGGCUAAACCCGCGUACAUGCCACCGGGGCAUCCCGGAGGCAGGAAAGGCUUCGGCCGGACAGGGAUGGGCAUGCGGCGCAUUAGGCAGUAGGCGGGGUAACGGCCCACCUAACCGACGAUGCGUAGGGGUUCUGAGAGGAAGGUCCCCCACACUGGUACUGAGACACGGACCAGACUCCUACGGGAGGCAGCAGUGAGGAAUAUUGGUCAAUGGUCGGGAGACUGAACCAGCCAAGCCGCGUGAGGGAGGAAGGUACAGAGUAUCGUAAACCUCUUUUGUCAGGGAACAAAGGCGGGGACGUGUCCCCGGAUGAGUGUACCUGAAGAAAAAGCAUCGGCUAACUCCGUGCCAGCAGCCGCGGUAAUACGGAGGAUGCGAGCGUUAUCCGGAUUUAUUGGGUUUAAAGGGUGCGCAGGCGGUCUGUUAAGUCAGCGGUCAAAGCCCGGGGCUCAACCCCGGCCCGCCGUUGAAACUGGCAGUCUCGAGUUGGAGAGAAGUAUGCGGAAUGCGCGGUGUAGCGGUGAAAUGCAUAGAUAUCGCGCAGAACUCCGAUUGCGAAGGCAGCAUGCCGGCUCCACACUGACGCUGAGGCACGAAAGCGUGGGUAUCGAACAGGAUUAGAUACCCUGGUAGUCCACGCAGUAAACGAUGAAUAAUGGCUGUCCGGGGGGAUUGACCCCUGGGUGGCGAAGCGAAAGCGAUAAGCAUUCCACCUGGGGAGUACGCCGGCAACGGUGAAACUCAAAGGAAUUGACGGGGGCCCGCACAAGCGGAGGAACAUGUGGUUUAAUUCGAUGAUACGCGAGGAACCUUACCCGGGCUCAAACGGGGAGUGACUCAGGCAGAGACGCCUGUUUCCCACGGGACACUCCCCGAGGUGCUGCAUGGUUGUCGUCAGCUCGUGCCGUGAGGUGUCGGCUUAAGUGCCAUAACGAGCGCAACCCCCGCGUGCAGUUGCUAACAGAUAACGCUGAGGACUCUGCACGGACUGCCGGCGCAAGCCGCGAGGAAGGCGGGGAUGACGUCAAAUCAGCACGGCCCUUACGUCCGGGGCGACACACGUGUUACAAUGGGUGGUACAGCGGGAAGCCAGGCGGCGACGCCGAGCGGAUCCCGAAAUCCACUCUCAGUUCGGAUCGGAGUCUGCAACCCGACUCCGUGAAGCUGGAUUCGCUAGUAAUCGCGCAUCAGCCAUGGCGCGGUGA